rnacentral:rRNA from 1 species
GACGAACGCUGGCGGCGUGCUUAACACAUGCAAGUCGAACGGUAAGGCCCUUCGGGGUACACGAGUGGCGAACGGGUGAGUAACACGUGGGUGAUCCGCCCUGCACUUCGGGAUAAGCCUGGGAAACUGGGUCUAAUACCGGAUAGGACUCCGGACUGCAUGGUCUGGGGUGGAAAGCUUUUGCGGUGUGGGAUGGGCCCGCGGCCUAUCAGCUUGUUGGUGGGGUGAUGGCCUACCAAGGCGACGACGGGUAGCCGGCCUGAGAGGGUGACCGGCCACACUGGGACUGAGGUAAGGCCCAGACUCCGACGGGAGGCAGCAGUGGGGAAUAUUGCACAAUGGGCGCAGGCCUGAUGCAGCGACGCCGCGUGAGAGAUGACGGCCUUCGGGUUGUAAACCUCUUUCAGCAUCGACGAAGCGAAAGUGACGGUAGGUGCAGAAGAAGGACCGGCCAACUACGUGCCAGCCGCCGCAGUAA